rnacentral:rRNA from 1 species
UGGGUAACCUGCCUGUAAGACUGGGAUAACUCCGGGAAACCGGGGCUAAUACCGGAUGCUUGUUUGAACCGCAUGGUUCAGACAUAAAAGGUGGCUUCGGCUACCACUUACAGAUGGACCCGCGGCGCAUUAGCUAGUUGGUGAGGUAACGGCUCACCAAGGCGACGAUGCGUAGCCGACCUGAGAGGGUGAUCGGCCACACUGGGACUGAGACACGGCCCAGACUCCUACGGGAGGCAGCAGUAGGGAAUCUUCCGCAAUGGACGAAAGUCUGACGGAGCAACGCCGCGUGAGUGAUGAAGGUUUUCGGAUCGUAAAGCUCUGUUGUUAGGGAAGAACAAGUGCCGUUCAAAUAGGGCGGCACCUUGACGGUACCUAACCAGAAAGCCACGGCUAACUACGUGCCAGCAGCCGCGGUAAUACGUAGGUGGCAAGCGUUGUCCGGAAUUAUUGGGCGUAAAGGGCUCGCAGGCGGUUUCUUAAGUCUGAUGUGAAAGCCCCCGGCUCAACCGGGGAGGGUCAUUGGAAACUGGGGAACUUGAGUGCAGAAGAGGAGAGUGGAAUUCCACGUGUAGCGGUGAAAUGCGUAGAGAUGUGGAGGAACACCAGUGGCGAAGGCGACUCUCUGGUCUGUAACUGACGCUGAGGAGCGAAAGCGUGGGGAGCGAACAGGAUUAGAUACCCUGGUAGUCCACGCCGUAAACGAUGAGUGCUAAGUGUUAGGGGGUUUCCGCCCCUUAGUGCUGCAGCUAACGCAUUAAGCACUCCGCCUGGGGAGUACGGUCGCAAGACUGAAACUCAAAGGAAUUGACGGGGGCCCGCACAAGCGGUGGAGCAUGUGGUUUAAUUCGAAGCAACGCGAAGAACCUUACCAGGUCUUGACAUCCUCUGACAAUCCUAGAGAUAGGACGUCCCCUUCGGGGGCAGAGUGACAGGUGGUGCAUGGUUGUCGUCAGCUCGUGUCGUGAGAUGUUGGGUUAAGUCCCGCAACGAGCGCAACCCUUGAUCUUAGUUGCCAGCAUUCAGUUGGGCACUCUAAGGUGACUGCCGGUGACAAACCGGAGGAAGGUGGGGAUGACGUCAAAUCAUCAUGCCCCUUAUGACCUGGGCUACACACGUGCUACAAUGGGCAGAACAAAGGGCAGCGAAACCGCGAGGUUAAGCCAAUCCCACAAAUCUGUUCUCAGU